rnacentral:rRNA from 1 species
UACGUAGGGACCAAGCGUUGUUCGGAUUUACUGGGCGUAAAGGGCGCGUAGGCGGCGAAUCAAGUCAGCUGUGAAAUCUCCGAGCUUAACUCGGAACGGUCAGCUGAUACUGUUUUGCUAGAGUGCAGAAAGGGCAACCGGAAUUCUUGGUGUAGCGGUGAAAUGCGUAGAUAUCAAGAGGAACACCUGAGGCGAGGGCGGGUUGCUAGGCUGACACUGACGCUGAAGCGCGAAAGCUAGGGUAGCAAACGGG